CCUUUUUCUUCCUUCUAAUAUUUACCAGGUUUAUACUCUGCUGAAUACUGUACUGAGGUCUGGAGACCCAGAGUUGAAUAAACUCUGGUGUCUCAAGGGGCCUAUUGGGAUGACAGACAAGUCCAUGUGCUAUUACAAUGUGCAUGAUGGUGGCCGAAACAGGUGUGCACAAGGGACUGAAGAAAGUAUAGUAGAGACACUGAGCGUCUCUAGAAAACCAGGAGAGCAAGGGAAGGAAGAAAAAG